UUGGGGUGACAGUCCAUUGCCAACCACUUGUGCUGGGCACUGCCCAGAGCAGCCUCGUGGCUGAGUGUGGGAGGAGCUCUGAGAAGGCUCUCCAGGCACAAAAUGGUCUUGGUGGGAUCUCCUGCCCUGGAGAACCCCUUCCGGAGACAGAGCUGUGGUGGUGGUGCCAAGUCCAGAAUGAUCCCUCUUUGCACUGGGUGCUUUCUUAUCCUACUGGGAAAAUACCUUAAAAAUUAGCACAAGAAGCAAGUGGAUCCUUGCAGAGAGGUAUAGCCUGGACUUCAUAGAUUUGAGUUUCCUUCCUGUUGGUAGAACGUGGAUAACAUGUAGAAAAGUGACUCAGAUUCAUCAUAGGAAAAUAUCACAUGUAAUAACCCUCAGGUGGAACUUUGCUCAAGCUGAAGCAUGGGAUGUGCAAGGCGCCAAACUGCUUUUAUUCCUUGCUUCCAUGGGUUCAUUAAGUGCUGUUUUCACCUCCUUCUCAGCCAAAUUAAAGGGUCAAUGUAGAGGGAGUCAACACACAGAAUUGCUGAGAGUGUGUUUGACGAGUAAAAUGGGAGAAAAUAUGACCCUAAGUUUUUUUGGAUGUUAAACGCAUCUUCUAUGCUUGUUUUUCAGAGCAGAGUUGAAGGUCCUGAUGGAAGCAGAAUGAAUUUAGAUGGCUGGCUAUCUGUGCACCUCUUCCUCUCUCUGGCACUUCAGUGUUCUGUAGUUUUGUCUAUGCUGAUUUUUACCGCUUGGUAAAAUUAUUUUUAUAGUUGUGUUCAAGACGGCUUUUUAGAAACACAUCACAGAAAACUCUGUGGAAUAUAAUUUUGACUGAAGUUUCACCAUGCCACUGUUUGAAUAGACUAGAAAGCCAUCAGUAUUCCCACUGUUCACCUCAUCAUCCAUUCGUGUCCAGUCACUGCUUAAGCAAAUUCAGCUUCUAGACCUGGAUGUAUAACCAGUGUGACUCCUACCUGAUUAUGAAAUCCAUUUUUGCUGGAAACGUGCAUCCCUUCAGUAAGGAACUGCCAGUGAAAUUCUCUACAGUGCUGUGAAUCCAGGGUUUCAAAUGCCUGAAAAUCCUGGCAUCAAGGAUCUGUCUGUUCCAUGGAGCCAUGGAUACAGAGAGAAGUGGAACGUGCUACUGCUCUUUAUCAGAGGGUUCCCUGUGCUCUUGGUGACCGCAGACAAACAGGAAGGAAAUCCCCAGCAUGGAUUUUGAUUUGGUUGUGGAGUUGUUGAAAAGCACAUACUGCCACUGUCCUGGCCUUGUUUGUGACUGGGACUGCAACAGCCUCAUUAGUGUUCCUGGGACUGAAAGUCUGGAAAGA